CCACGAUUACUGAGAUGGGAUAAUUCUUCCAACAUGAUGUCUCUGGGGAUGCUGACUUUUUUGCCCAGGUGCAUGGCAUCUACAUCUGUAAAACAACAUUCAUGUACAUGAAAACCCCAAGUCUUUGUGUCCGCCAUGCCUUAAAUAUAGGAGAUGUUCCCUAUAAUUCUACGAAAUACAUUGGACAUUAUGUAUACAACAUAAGAAGACUCUGAAAGGUGAAGAGAAGACAAUUAACUAGGAGACUCAGGAUUCAAGGAACAAUGUGGUGUCCCCAGGGAAGCAGAGAUUACCUGUGAAAAAGGAUUGGAGGAAGAGAGCAAAGUAAAUGAGGGUGUUUUAUAACAGUUGCCUGGGAUUUGCUUGCCAACCCUGCUGAGUUCUACAGGUAAUAUUCACCU